rnacentral:rRNA from 1 species
GGAUUGUAGUCUGCAACUCGACUACAUGAAGCUGGAAUCGCUAGUAAUCGCGAAUCAGAAUGUCGCGGUGAAUACGUUCCCGGGUCUUGUACACACCGCCCGUCACACCAUGGGAGUCGGAUAUGCCCGAAGUCAGUGACCCAACCAUAUGGAGGGAGCUGCCGAAGGUGGAGCCGAUAACUGGGGUGAAGUCGUAACAAGGUAUC